rnacentral:rRNA from 1 species
AGAGUUUGAUCAUGGCUCAGGAUGAACGCUGGCGGCGUGCUUAACACAUGCAAGUCGAACGAACCUUCGGGUUAGUGGCGGACGGGUGAGUAACGCGUGAGAAUCUGCCCUCAGGAGGGGGAUAACGGUUGGAAACGACCGCUAAUACCCCAUAUGCCUACUGGUGAAAUGAAUUUCGCCUGAGGAUGAGCUCGCGUCUGAUUAGCUAGUUGGUGAGGUAAUGGCUCACCAAGGCUUCGAUCAGUAGCUGGUCUGAGAGGAUGAUCAGCCACACUGGGACUGAGACACGGCCCAGACUCCUACGGGAGGCAGCAGUGGGGAAUUUUCCGCAAUGGGCGAAAGCCUGACGGAGCAACGCCGCGUGAGGGACGAAGGCCUCUGGGCUGUAAACCUCUUUUCUCAAGGAAGAAGAUAUGACGGUACUUGAGGAAUAAGCCACGGCUAAUUCCGUGCCAGCAGCCGCGGUAAUACGGGAGUGGCAAGCGUUAUCCGGAAUUAUUGGGCGUAAAGCGUCCGCAGGCGGCUUUUCAAGUCUGCUGUUAAAGAGUGGAGCUUAACUCCAUCAUGGCAGUGGAAACUGAAAGGCUUGAGUAUGGUAGGGGCAGAGGGAAUUCCCGGUGUAGCGGUGAAAUGCGUAGAUAUCGGGAAGAACACCAGUGGCGAAGGCGCUCUGCUGGGCCAUUACUGACGCUCAUGGACGAAAGCCAGGGGAGCGAAAGGGAUUAGAUACCCCUGUAGUCCUGGCCGUAAACGAUGAACACUAGGUGUCGGGGGAAUCGACCCCUUCGGUGUCGUAGCUAACGCGUUAAGUGUUCCGCCUGGGGAGUACGCACGCAAGUGUGAAACUCAAAGGAAUUGACGGGGGCCCGCACAAGCGGUGGAGUAUGUGGUUUAAUUCGAUGCAACGCGAAGAACCUUACCAGGGUUUGACAUCCUGCGAACCUCUUAGAAAUUUGAGGGUGCCUUCGGGAAUGCAGUGACAGGUGGUGCAUGGCUGUCGUCAGCUCGUGUCGUGAGAUGUUGGGUUAAGUCCCGCAACGAGCGCAACCCACGUUUUUAGUUGCCAGCAUUUAGUUGGGCACUCUAGAAAGACCGCCGGUGAUAAACCGGAGGAAGGUGUGGAUGACGUCAAGUCAUCAUGCCCCUUACACCCUGGGCUACACACGUACUACAAUGCUACGGACAAAGGGCAGCAAACUCGCGAGAGCUAGCAAAUCCCAUAAACCGUGGCUCAGUUCAGAUCGUAGGCUGCAACUCGCCUACGUGAAGUAGGAAUCGCUAGUAAUCGCAGGUCAGCAUACUGCGGUGAAUACGUUCCCGGGCCUUGUACACACCGCCCGUCACACCAUGGAAGUUGGCCAUGCCCGAAGUCGUUACUCCAACCCUUGUGGAGGAGGACGCCGAAGGUGGGGCUAAUGACUGGGGUGAAGUCGUAACAAGGUAGCCGUA